rnacentral:tRNA from 3 species
GGAAACAUAGCUCAGUUGGUAGAGCGUCUGGUUGAAGCCCAGAAGGUCGUAGGUUCGAUUCCUGCUGUUUCCG